CCUUUGCACGCUGACCCGCCGCCAUGGCAGCGAGGGCCGUCAGUCCGCUCCGAGACGCAACCGGAGAGAGAUCUCGCGCGCGGCCGCCGUCCCGAAGGCCCCGCCCCGCCUUAGCUCCGCCCCCACCCCUGCGGAUUGCGGCUUUUGGCUGCUCGGGCCCGCCCCCUAAAGCGGCCCAUCUAGCUCAGCUUGUUUAUUCAUUUGGCAAACAGGCCCCACCGGCCCGAGCGCUCGAGUCGGCUCUUGGUCGUAGCCGCGCGGAAGCCGGGUUUGCGCUCGCAUUCUGAGGGCUGCUCCGGCCCGGGUCUCCCCAGCGCGCCCCGGGCCUCGGCCCGCCGGAUCCCGGCGCUCGCCCACCCCACCCCACCGUCCCGGCCUCGCCCUGGGCCUCGGGCUCAGCCUCUCUGAGUCGGCAGACACCCAGCCCCGGGCCUGGUACGCAGGGCAGGAGAAGCGAUUGCCUCCUCUGGGGCAGGACCCAGGCCUUCACACCCGGUGCGCUGUUGCGGGUGACAAAGGACAUCACCACGAUAAGCGCGAUCUCAGGGCCCCGUUGCUCCUGCCAGAAUGCAGGCAGGCUGAAUGGGAGCUAUGUCAACACCAAGAGAAUCGUAUGUAUAUGUUUAGGCAGGAAGAGAGUUGGGAAGACGACUAAGGCCCCUUGAUCCCAAUAGUAUAUGCGAGGAAACGGAGCUUCAGAAAGGAAGACCUGAGGCCCCUCAGCCACUGAGGUUCAGUUCUGAGGCAGGAACACUUCAUGGCAUCUCCACUGGGACCCUGAGCAAGUUACUCACUCUUCUAUGGUCUUGCUGCCUCCAGGGGUCUGGGAGACCCCAGACUGUCUGAAGACUCAGCAGGCCCUGAACCUUUGUUUGCUGACCUGGGAAUACAAGGACCAAUACAAAGAAAAAGAAAGAGAAAGCCACAGAAGCAAGAAGAUGCAAGCAAUGAAAC